rfam:Roseburia sp. CAG:45 genomic scaffold, scf88
CAACCAUAUCAAUUAGAGCUGCUUAGAAUUUCAUCACAGACUGGCAACGCCGGUGCAGGGAUGUACCGGCGAGGUGCAAUGGAGCAUGGAUGCGACUUUGCACCGCUUGCCGGAAAGACCAAUAUAUAAAAUGGAAAUUCUUAGCAGCUCUUAUAGAUAUGGUGC